rnacentral:SRP_RNA from 1 species
GCCGGGCUUGGUGGCUCACGCCUGUAAUCCCAGCACCUCAGGAGGCCGAGGUGGGCGGAUCACCUGAGGUCAGGAGUUCGAGACCAGCCUGACCAACAUGGAGAAACCCCAUCUCUA